rnacentral:rRNA from 1 species
UAGGGAAUCUUCGGCAAUGGACGGAAGUCUGACCGAGCAACGCCGCGUGAGUGAAGAAGGUUUUCGGAUCGUAAAGCUCUGUUGUAAGAGAAGAACGAGUGUGAGAGUGGAAAGUUCACACUGUGACGGUAUCUUACCAGAAAGGGACGGCUAACUACGUGCCAGCAGCCGCGGUAAUACGUAGGUCCCGAGCGUUGUCCGGAUUUAUUGGGCGUAAAGCGAGCGCAGGCGGUUAGAUAAGUCUGAAGUUAAAGGCUGUGGCUUAACCAUAGUACGCUUUGGAAACUGUUUAACUUGAGUGCAAGAGGGGAGAGUGGAAUUCCAUGUGUAGCGGUGAAAUGCGUAGAUAUAUGGAGGAACACCGGUGGCGAAAGCGGCUCUCUGGCUUGUAACUGACGCUGAGGCUCGAAAGCGUGGGGAGCAAACAGGAUUAGAUACCCUGGUAGUCCACGCCGUAAACGAUGAGUGCUAGGUGUUAGACCCUUUCCGGGGUUUAGUGCCGUAGCUAACGCAUUAAGCACUCCGCCUGGGGAGUACGACCGUAAGGUUG